GACAUCGGGAUGGUGGUGCCUGAGCCAAGCCGGCACCCCAACCCUCCGGAGGCUCACCGGGCGUCCGCCGGCCGUCGCUGAGCGGGUGCCAGGGGUCGGGGUCGGUGGCCACCAGCAGGCAGCGCGGGUCUCGCAGGUAGCCGCAGGCCUGC